AAAUUUUAUUGGGAUAGUACUUUAAGAAGAUCAUUUUAUGAUUUUACACGCAGUUUUCAUAAUUGAGAAAAUCCGAGAAAAGACGUGAAAUGAAAAUGGACAAAUUUAUGGCAUAUUCAAUAAUUUAAACGUUGUUUUUUUGUUGUUGAAAAUAUUCAUAUGGAUUUGACAUUUUGAUAGAAAAACUAUAUUUGCCUUUUCUAGACGUCGACAAAUUUUCAAAAUAUUUUAGCUAUUUAUUUAGACAUUUUAAUUUUGCGAGCUUUUUACAUAAUAUUUAUUCGAAAGGUACUCUAU